AGUGAACGCUGGCGGUAGGCCUAACACAUGCAAGUCGAACGGCAGCACAGUAAGAGCUUGCUCUUACGGGUGGCGAGUGGCGGACGGGUGAGGAAUACAUCGGAAUCUACUUUUUCGUGGGGGAUAACGUAGGGAAACUUACGCUAAUACCGCAUACGACCUACGGGUGAAAUCAUGGGAUCUUCGGACCUUUCGCGAUUGAAUGAGCCGAUGUCGGAUUAGCUUGUUGGCGGGGUAAAGGCCCACCAAGGCGACGAUCCGUAGCUGGUCUGAGAGGAUGAUCAGCCAAACUGGAACUGAGACACGGACCAGACUCCUACGGGAGGCAGCAGUGGGGAAUAUUGGACAAUGGGCGAAAGCAUGAUCCAGCAAUACCGCGUGGGUGAAGAAGGCCUUCGGGUUGUAAAGCCCUUUUGUUGGGAAAGAAAAGCAGCAGGUUAAUACCCCGCUGUUAUGACGGUAACCAAAGAAUAAGCACCGGCUAACUUCGUG
rnacentral:rRNA from 1 species